ACAGAGGUCCCAAGCGUUGUUCGGAUUCACUGGGCGUAAAGGGUGCGUAGGCGGUCGGGUAAGUCUGAUGUGAAAGCUCGGAGCUCAACUCCGAAAUGGCAUCGGAAACUAUUCGGCUCGAGGAAUGGAGGGGAGACUGGAAUACUUGGUGUAGCAGUGAAAUGCGUAGAGAUCCGGAGGAACACCAGAGGCGAAGGCGACACCCUGGGCCGUACCUGACGCUAAGACGCGACAGCACGGGGAGCGAACGG
rnacentral:rRNA from 1 species